UGAUUUUGAAUGUUUUUUUUAUACAGAGGAGAAAUAUUGCAUUUCAUUAAAUUAAAGUUAAAACUACAAAGAUAGAUACAUAGUUUAAAUAACAGUGGUGAUUAGCUACACAAUUACAAAGAACAAGACUAGGCCCGGUCCCAAACUGUACACUAGCUGGAAAUGUAACGGCGGCAGCACCAACCAGGUGAGUUGCCCAUCAUGCCUUGUAGCAUGUCCACACCAGCAAACUGCCCACACCAUGCCCUGCAGUGCACCAGUAUCAGCAGUAAUCUGGUCAGCUGCAGAGUCCUAUUGCAGUCCACAAUCAACAGCACUAGGUGGUUUCCAGUCUCAUUUCCAGCCCCCAAACAAAGUCAGUUUGCAGUCCACCAACACCCCAUAUUACAAGACCUGGAGCUGCAGAAGUGCAGAACCUGCACAAGUAAAGUCUGCCGCACAUCCACCGUUCCGAGGUGCCCAAUCAAAGCAUUCCACCCACAAAAGAUGUGACACAUUGAUUAGAUAGAGAAGAAGAGGUGAUUAAUGGGUUUAUUUAGAAUGUUAUGAGAAUGUUAGCACUUAGCAACACAAUCGUCAAAAGACAAAUUCACUUCAAAA
rnacentral:lncRNA from 1 species